UUUUUCAUUUUCCCUUUCUUUUCUUUCUAUCUUUCUUUCUUUUUCCCAUUUUCUUUUUUUCUUAUUCUUUCUUUUCUUUUAUUUUCUUUUCAAUCUUGUCGAAACCAUCGAAGUUAUCCACCACCGCCAGAUUCGACUUAAUAAAAAUACCCAAAUUUCAAAUUAACCAAAAAAAAACCCAGGUUUAAAUUUCAAAUUAAGCCUCCGUUUAUUCACUGAAAAUAGCUUUCGAAAAAUAUUUUUUACACUUUUUCUAUAUUUUUUUAUAGAAAAC
rnacentral:lncRNA from 1 species